GAUGAACGCUGGCGGCGUGCCUAAUACAUGCAAGUCGAGCGAACGGACGAGAAGCUUGCUUCUCUGAUGUUAGCGGCGGACGGGUGAGUAACACGUGGAUAACCUACCUAUAAGACUGGGAUAACUUCGGGAAACCGUAGCUAUUACCGGAUAAUAUUUUGAACCGCAUGGUUCAAAAGUGAAAGACGGUCUUGCUGUCACUUAUAGAUGGAUCCGCUAUGCAUUAGCUAGUUGGUAAGGUAACGGCUUACCAAGGCAACGAUGCGAAGCCGACCUGGGAGGGGGGGCAGACACACCAGAACGGUAACGCGGUACAGACUCCUACGGUAGGCGACGGAGGGGAAAGGACCGCUAGGGGAGGGAGGCUGGACGGAACAAGCCGCGUGGGGUGUAGAAAGAAUGGGAUAGGAAAAGUCUACUGCUAUGAAAGGACAAAAAUGUGGGGUACGUGUAAGAUGUUGACGGUACCAUAUGAAUAAGCAUCGGCUAACUACGUG
rnacentral:rRNA from 1 species